AUCGUCGGGAGGACGGAUAGCCUGCUAAAGAUAGAACGCUCAUACAAAUCGUGCUUACUUCCGUUUCAAUAUGAGUUUUAAGUAACUCUCCGGUAGGCGGCGCUAUCUCUAGUAUGGGCAUUCGCUUAUCUGUCAAAAUCGGCCGGUUACAUGUUUAUCUUUCGAAAGUAAAUCGCCAUAAUUUAAUAAUUGUUUCUCUUCAUAUUGGCCUAUUGUAGCAGUGAUGAUAGUGAUAUGGAAUUAUUUCAAAUGAUAAUGGAUUGUGAUGCAGAUAGUGAUAGUGAGGCCGAUAUCAUAUGGUUAGGAAAAUAAAGAUCGUCUGAAUUACAUGGCGAAGAUCAAUAAUUACGAAUUUGACUAUAGAUUUCUGAGCAAAGGUGUUGUGAAUGAAUUGAUUAAUUUAAUGAGACCAUAUUUGAGUGUAACGUCAAAAAGAUUCAAAUAUAGGAGAGGAAUUUAGAAAUAGAAAAAGAGUAUUUUGAAUGUGUAAUUUGUGUGCAAUGCAUCAUUGAUGUUUCAAAAUGUUGUUGCUUGAUGGCCUGGGUCUACUCAUGAUACAACUAUAAUUAACCAUUCCGAUUGAAAAGAUGCAUUGGUGUUUGUAAAAGAAGACUCCCUGUAUAUCAUUGAAAAGUAGAUUAAAACUAGAAAAUAUGCAAGCUGUUAUUAUAGCUGCCAUGCUGCAUAAUAUCGUCAGAAGUAUGAAUUUAGAAGAAUUAGAAUCAGAAAUUUCAGUCGCAGAUACAUUACAGGAAAAUAAUAUAAUUGUUCGUAACAAUUUUUCAAAACUUACAUCUGAAAUACAACUAUGUACUUAUAAAUAAUUGCUUCCAAAGAUAAUUUAUAAAAUAAACUCCAAAGAUAA